GUGGAUCAUCAUUAAGAAAAAUUGGGAAAAUAUCGGGCUUGAGAAAACUGAAGGAAUUAAGACUAGAGGAUUAUUCAAUGUUAUCUGAGAUUGAGGGCCUUGAGGGACUGGACUCCCUGGAGCUGUUGACGAUGGAAAACUGUAAAUCAUUAAGGCAAAUUGGGAAACUAUCCAGCUUGAGAAAACUGAAGGAAUUAAGACUAGAGGAGCUGUGAGAACUUACUCGAGAUUGAGGGACUUGU